rfam:Pseudooceanicola atlanticus strain 22II-s11g contig1, whole genome shotgun sequence.
GGCAGAACGAAACGGCAUGGUUCCUCGCAAGGGCGCAAAGCGUCCGAGGAUGAAUUGGGAAUGCGGAACGGGACGACCCAUAUCGGGGCCCUAGCCGCAGCCGCCCCCGCGACUGUAAGCGGAGAGCGCAGUGCCAUACGCCACUGGGACACCGGGAAGGCGGCACAAGGCGCGAUGACCCGCAAGCCAGGAGACCAGCCGUGCGUAACAUGGUAAC